GGGCGUGUAGCUCAGGUGGUAGAGCACUUGACUUUUAAUCAAGUUGUCCGGGGUUCGAAUCCCCGCACGCUCAUCA
rnacentral:tRNA from 4 species